CUUCACAAUUGUCCGUUUCUUGAAUAUAGUGCGUCUGAGUGUUCGAACAAAUAUAAUAUUCUUGCAUAUGUAUGCAUUUGCUUAACUCUAUGUCAUCUAUGUAUAUUGAAUACACAUUAUCCUCUGACAUGGCCAAGCAAUGGUAUUGAUUUGUAUAGGCGGUAUUCCCUUGUAUCGACUAUCGGAAUGGCUAUUAUGAAUAUCAAUGUAUCUGCUACUCUUAUUACUUAUUCCCGAAUCGUCUUCGGAAUUCCAGUGCCAAUCCUUCCUUUAACGUCAAUUCCCGUGAUACAUAAUGUACGAGAUGCGAAUGUUCGUCUUCAAAAAUAUCACCUGCUAUUUCUAUAAUAUUUAAGUUUUGGACUAUAUUUGUCUUAAUAUACUCCAUAUAUUCAUUAUAUGUUGUACUGCUUACUACUUGUUCCCCUUCUAUUUGCAUAAUUUGUGGUAUUCUACUGAGAGCGUCAGCAUUAGUAUUUA